rnacentral:rRNA from 1 species
CCUACGGGAGGCAGCAGUGGGGAAUUUUGGACAAUGGGCGCAAGCCUGAUCCAGCAAUGCCGCGUGAGUGAAGAAGGCCUUCGGGUUGUAAAGCUCUUUUGUCAGGGAAGAAACGGUGGUUCCUAAUACGGACUACUAAUGACGGUACCUGAAGAAUAAGCACCGGCUAACUACGUGCCAGCAGCCGCGGUAAUACGUAGGGUGCAAGCGUUAAUCGGAAUUACUGGGCGUAAAGCGUGCGCAGGCGGUUAUAUAAGUCAGAUGUGAAAUCCCCGGGCUCAGCCUGGGAACUGCAUUUGAGACUGUAUGGCUAGAGUGUGUCAGAGGGGGGUAGAAUUCCACGUGUAGCAGUGAAAUGCGUAGAUAUGUGGAGGAAUACCGAUGGCGAAGGCAGCCCCCUGGGAUAACACUGACGCUCAUGCACGAAAGCGUGGGGAGCAAACAGGAUUAGAUACCCUGGUAGUCCACGCCCUAAACGAUGUCUACUAGUUGUCGGGACUUAAUUGUNUGUACGCAGCGACGCGUGAGUAGACGCGCGGAGGUAACGGUCGCGAGAGUAAACGUUACUUAAUAGAGUUAGAGGCGNGAGAGNGCGACGGACGACGACGAGGGAGGAGG